CUCUAUACGGAGUUACAAAGGACGACAUUAGAUGAAUCAUCUGGAAAGAUGAAUCAAAGAAGGUAAUAAUCCUGUAGUCGAAAAUGUUGUCUCUCUUGAGUGGAUCCUGAGUACGACGGAGCACGUGAAAUUCCGUCGGAAUCUGGGAGGACCAUCUCCUAAGGCUAAAUACUCUCUAGUGACCGAUAGUGAACCAGUACCGUGAGGGAAAGGUGAAAAGCACCCCGGAAGGGGAGUGAAAUAGAACCUGAAACCGUGUGCUUACAAGUAGUCAGAGCCCGUUAAUGGGUGAUGGCGUGCCUUUUGUAGAAUGAACCGGCGAGUUACGAUUUGAUGCAAGGUUAAGCAGUAAAUGUGGAGCCGUAGCGAAAGCGAGUCUGAAUAGGGCGUUUAGUAUUUGGUCGUAGACCCGAAACCAGGUGAUCUACCCUUGGUCAGGUUGAAGUUCAGGUAACACUGAAUGGAGGACCGAACCGACUUACGUUGAAAAGUGAGCGGAUGAACUGAGGGUAGCGGAGAAAUUCCAAUCGAACCUGGAGAUAGCUGGUUCUCUCCGAAAUAGCUUUAGGGCUAGCCUCAAGUGAUGAUUAUUGGAGGUAGAGCACUGUUUGGACGAGGGGCCCCUCUCGGGUUACCGAAUUCAGACAAACUCCGAAUGCCAAUUAAUUUAACUUGGGAGUCAGAACAUGGGUGAUAAGGUCCGUGUUCGAAAGGGAAACAGCCCAGACCACCAGCUAAGGUCCCAAAAUAUAUGUUAAGUGGAAAAGGAUGUGGCGUUGCCCAGACAACUAGGAUGUUGGCUUAGAAGCAGCCAUCAUUUAAAGAGUGCGUAAUAGCUCACUAGUCGAGUGACACUGCGCCGAAAAUGUACCGGGGCUAAACAUAUUACCGAAGCUGUGGAUUGUCCUUUGGACAAUGGUAGGAGAGCGUUCUAAGGGCGUUGAAGCAUGAUCGUAAGGACAUGUGGAGCGCUUAGAAGUGAGAAUGCCGGUGUGAGUAGCGAAAGACGGGUGAGAAUCCCGUCCACCGAUUGACUAAGGUUUCCAGAGGAAGGCUCGUCCGCUCUGGGUUAGUCGGGUCCUAAGCUGAGGCCGACAGGCGUAGGCGAUGGAUAACAGGUUGAUAUUCCUGUACCACCUAUA
rnacentral:rRNA from 1 species